UGAGCAACCUGCCCUUAGCUUUGGGAUAACCCUCGGAAACGGGGGCUAAUACCGAAUGUUCACUGCCGGGCGCAUGUUUGGUGGUGGAAAGUUUUUCGGCUGGGGAUGGGCUCGCGGCCUAUCAGCUUGUUGGUGGGGUGAUGGCCUACCAAGGCGACGACGGGUAGCCGGCCUGAGAGGGCGACCGGCCACACUGGGACUGAGACACGGCCCAGACUCCGUACGGGAGGCA
rnacentral:rRNA from 1 species